AGUGCUUGCACUUUGCUGACGAGUGGCGGACGGGUGAGUAAUGCUUGGGAACUUGCCUUUGCGAGGGGGAUAACAGUUGGAAACGACUGCUAAUACCGCAUAAUGUCUACGGACCAAACGGGGCUUAGGCUUCGGCGCAGAGAGAGGCCCAAGUGAGAUUAGCUAGUUGGUGGGGUAAAGGCUCACCAAGGCGACGAUCUCUAGCUGUUCUGAGAGGAAGAUCAGCCACACUGGGACUGAGACACGGCCCAGACUCCUACGGGAGGCAGCAGUGGGGAAUAUUGCACAAUGGGGGGAACCCUGAUGCAGCCAUGCCGCGUGUGUGAAGAAGGCCUUCGGGUUGUAAAGCACUUUCAGUUGUGAGGAAAAGUGAGUAGUUAAUACCUGCUCACCGUGACGUUAACAACAGAAGAAGCACCGGCUAACUCCGUGCCAGCAGCCGCGGUAAUACGGAGGGUGCGAGCGUUAAUCGGAAUUACUGGGCGUAAAGCGCACGCAGGCGGUUUGUUAAGCUAGAUGUGAAAGCCCCGAGCUCAACUUGGGAUGGUCAUUUAGAACUGGCAGACUAGAGUCUUGGAGAGGGGGAGUGGAAUUCCAGGUGUAGCGGUGAAAUGCGUAGAUAUCUGGAGGAACAUCAGUGGCGAAGGCGACUCCCUGGCCAAAGACUGACGCUCAUGUGCGAAAGUGUGGGUAGCGAACAGGAUUAGAUACCCUGGUAGUCCACACCGUAAACGCUGUCUACUAGCUGUUUGUGGCUUUAAGUCGUGAGUAGCGAAGCUAACGCGAUAAGUAGACCGCCUGGGGGAGUACGGCCGCAAGGUUAAAACUCAAAUGAAUUGACGGGGGCCCGCACAAGCGGUGGAGCAUGUGGUUUAAUUCGAUGCAACGCGAAGAACCUUACCUACACUUGACAUGCAGAGAACUUUCUAGAAGAUAGAUUGGUGCCUUCGGGAACUCUGACACAGGUGCUGCAUGGCUGUCGUCAGCUCGUGUCGUGAAAUGUUUGGGUUAAGUCCCGCAACGAGCGCAACCCUUGUCCUUAGUUGCCAGCAUUCAGUUGG
rnacentral:rRNA from 1 species